GCCGGGUUAGCUCAGUUGGUUAGAACAUGGUGCUAAUAACACCAAGUUCACAGGUUCAAUCCCUGCUUACUGCA
rfam:Pelecanus crispus contig86906, whole genome shotgun sequence.